GAUGAACGCUGGCGGCGUGCCUAAUACAUGCAAGUCGAGCGAACAAACGUGGAACUUUCUCCUCUGACGAUAGCGACGGACGGGUGAGUGAAACGUGGAGAAACUACCUAUUAGACUGGGUUAAAUUCGGGAAACCGGAGCUAAAACCGGAAAAAAUAUUGAACCACAUGAUACAAUAGUAUAAGAGGAUUUUGCUGUCAAUUAUAGAUGGAUCUGCGCCGCAUUAGGAAGAUGGUGAUGUAACGGUAUAACCACACAAAGAUACGUAGCCGACCUGAGAGGGAGAUCGGCCACGCUGGAACUGGGGCACGGUCCAGACUCCUACGGGAGGCAGCAGUAGGGAAUCCUCCGCAAUGGGCGAAGGCCUGACGGAGCAACGCCGCGUGAGUGAUGAAGGUCUUCGGAUCGUAAGACUCUGUUAGUAGGGAAGAUCAAAUGUGUAAGUAACUAUGCACGUCUUGACGGUACCAAAUCAGAAAGCCACGGCUAACUACGUG
rnacentral:rRNA from 1 species